AUUGAACGCUGGCGGCAGGCCUAACACAUGCAAGUCGAACGAGUGGCGGACGGGUGAGUAAUGUCUGGGAAACUGCCUGAUGGAGGGGGAUAACUACUGGAAACGGUAGCUAAUACCGCAUACCAUCGGAUGAGCCCAGGUGGGAUUAGCUUGUUGGUGGGGUAACGGCUCACCAAGGCAACGAUCCCUAGCUGGUCUGAGAGGAUGACCGGCCACACUGGAACUGAGACACGGUCCAGACUCCUACGGGAGGCAGCAGUGGGGAAUAUUGCACAAUGGGCGAAAGCCUGAUGCAGCCAUGCCGCGUGUAUGAAGAAGGCCCUAGGGUUGUAAAGUACUUUCAGUCGGGAGGCGUUACCGACAGAAAAAGCACCGGCUAACUCCGUGCCAGCAGCCGCGGUAAUUC
rnacentral:rRNA from 1 species